AUAUGGCCCCCAACACAGCAAGCCCUGGCUUCUUUGUCCACAGUGUCUUGGAAAAGUGUGUAUUGCGCUUCGCAGCAGAACACGCCGCUAGCUUAAGUUGUCUGUUAGUGUCUGUGUAAGUGUGUGUGUUUGGGGAGUUUCAGGAUCAAACCCUCAUGUCGACAGAGGCUGAGGAGACGACCGCUGACAGGUGCUUCCUGCAGCAACGCAGCAGCUUCAACACGGUGGCACAGCCAAUCGCUGACACCGCUGCUACCAAAACAACAUGGCUGCUCAACAAAUGGGCGCUCCUCCAUCUGUCUUAAUAUACCCUCAACACCACCAUUCCCCCUGGGCUAUGACGCCAUAUCUCCCAAAUGGCAACAGAAGUCAUGACGACAGGACCUUGAGUGGAGCAAACUAGAGUGGGGGUAGGCGAUGGGG